AGCUUUGCGCAGUGGCAGUAUCGUAGCCAAUGAGGUUUAUCCGAGGCGCGAUUAUUGCUAAUUAAACAGAGAUGUAGAAAUGUUGUACCAUUAUGCUGAUUGUUUUCCUCUUACUAUUAAUUGGUAGAUUUUGCUUCUCAAAAUUUAA
rnacentral:snRNA from 14 species